rnacentral:rRNA from 1 species
CCCUUAGAUGUUCUGGGCCGCACGCGCGCUACACUGACUGGUGCAACAAGUGUCUGACCUUGGCUCGAGAGGCCUGGGCAACCUUUGAACGCCAGUCGUGCUGGGGAUAGAUUCUUGCAAUUAUUAAUCUUCAACGAGGAAUUCCUAGUAAACGCAAGUCAUCAGCUUGCAUUGAUUACGUCCCUGCCCUUUGUACACACCGCCCGUCGCACCUACCGAUUGAAUGGUCCGGUGAAAUCUCGGGACGGCGGCUCGGUCGCUUGCGUCCGACUGCUGAAACUUGAUUAAACCAUAUCAUUUAGAGGAAGGUGAAGUCGUAACA